UAAAUGACUCUCGGCAACGGAUAUCUCGGCUCAUGCAUCGAUGAAGAACGUAGCAAAAUGCGAUACUUGGUGUGAAUUGCAGAAUCCCGUGAACCAUCGAGUUUUUGAACGCAAGUUGCGCCUGAUGCUAUUUGGCAGAAGGCACGUCUGCCUGGGUGUCACGU
rnacentral:rRNA from 1 species